rnacentral:rRNA from 1 species
UGGGGAAUAUUGGACAAUGGGCGAAAGCCUGAUCCAGCCAUGCCGCGUGAGUGAUGAAGGCCUUCGGGUCGUAAAGCUCUUUAGGUUGGGAAGAAGUUUGGUCGAGGAAAUGCGAUCAGAUUGACGGUACCGACAGAAUAAGCACCGGCAAACUCUGUGCCAGCAGCCGCGGUAAUACAGAGGGUGCAAGCGUUAAUCGGAGUUACUGGGCGUAAAGGGCGCGUAGGCGGUGAGAUGUGUGUGAUGUGAAAGCCCCGGGCUUAACCUGGGAAGUGCAUCGCAAACUAUCUGACUGGAGUAGAUGAGAGGGUGGCGGAAUUUCCGGUGUAGCGGUGAAAUGCGUAGAGAUCGGAAGGAACGUCAAUGGCGAAGGCAGCCACCUGGCAUCAUACUGACGCUGAGGCGCGAAAGCGUGGGGAGCGAA